GGUAGCAUGGCUGAGCGGUCUAAGGCGCUGGAUUUAGGAUUCAGUCUCUCUGGAGGAGUGGGUUCAAAUCCCAUUGCUGCCA